GAUGAACGCUGGCGGCGUGCCUAAUACAUGCAAGUCGAGCGAACGGACGAGAAGCUUGCUUCUCUGAUGUUAGCGGCGGACAGGUGAGUAGCACGUGGAUAACCUACCUAUAAGACUGGGAUAACUUCGGGAAACCGGAGCUAAUACCGGAUAAUAUUUUGAACCGCAUGGUUCAAAAGUGAAAGACGGUCUUGCUGUCACUUAUAGAUGGAUCCGCGCUGCAUUAGCUAGUUGGUAAGGUAACGGCUUACCAAGGCAACGAUGCAUAGCCGACCUGAGAGGGUGAUCGGCCACACUGGAACUGAGACACGGUCCAGACUCCUACGGGAGGCAGCAGUAGGGAAUCUUCCGCAAUGGGCGAAAGCCUGACGGAGCAACGCCGCGUGAGUGAUGAAGGUCUUCGGAUCGUAAAACUCUGUUAUUAGGGAAGAACAUAUGUGUAAGUAACUGUGCACAUCUUGACGGUACCUAAUCAGAAAGCCACGGCUAACUACGUG
rnacentral:rRNA from 1 species